rnacentral:rRNA from 1 species
CCUACGGGUGGCAGCAGUGAGGAAUAUUGGUCAAUGGGCGCGAGCCUGAACCAGCCAAGUCGCGUGAGGGAAGACGGUCCUAUGGAUUGUAAAUCUCUUUUGUCGGGGAGCAACAGACGCCACGCGUGGCGUUCCGAGAGUACCCGAAGAAAAAGCAUCGGCUAGCUCCGUGCCAGCAGCCGCGGUAAUACGGAGGAUGCGAGGGUUAUCCGGAUUUAUUGGGGUUAACGGGGGCGCAGGCGGAAGAUCAAGUCAGCGGUAAAAUUGCGGGGCUCAACCUCUUCGAGCCGUUGAAACUGGUUUUCUUGAGUGAGCGAGAGGUAUGCGGAAUGCGUGGUGUAGCGGUGAAAUGCAUAGAUAUCACGCAGAACUCCGAUUGCGAAGGCAGCAUACCGGCGCUCAACUGACGCUCAUGCACGAAAGUGUGGGUAUCGAACAGGAUUAGAUACCCUUGUAGUC